GUGCUCGCUUCUGCAGCACGUGUACUAAAAGGGGAGCAGUACAGACAAGAUUAGCAUGCCCCCUGCUCAAGGGUGACGUGCACAUUUGUGAAGUGUGCCGUAUUUUU
ensembl:snRNA LOC120098751 U6 spliceosomal RNA